rnacentral:lncRNA from 1 species
CCGGAAUUUGUUGAGGAGCAAGUUAGAGCUAUUAAUUCUUAUCAAAGACCACCAAGAAAUGAUCCUUAUUCUACUACAUAUAAUCUGGGUUGGCGUAACCACCCAAAUUUCUCAUGGAGAGAUAGUGGAGGGUCCUCUAAUGCACACCAAGGUGGUUCUCACUCAUAUGGAGGGAGUCAAGGCCCCAAUUCUUCAUCUUUUAGUCCCCACGGCCAUGGAAACACACAAUUUGGUGGACAA